rnacentral:lncRNA from 1 species
GAGAAUUUAAGGUUAUGUCAUAAUAAAAAUUCAAUUCAAUUUCCAUAUGCAGGAGACUUACGGUGUUAAAACAAUACCGAUCUUGUGAAUUUUUCCCAAGUCUCCACAAACUCGACCUCAAAUUAUUCUAUAGCCUAAAACUUUCAACAAAAAUGCAAUUUUUUUUAGAAAGAAAACAAAAACAAAACAAAACAAAGAACAAAAACAAAGAAAAUAAAGUAUUCCCUCCCCCACACUUAAAAU